CCUACGGGAGGCAGCAGUAAGGAAUAUUGGACAAUGCUCGCAAGAGUGAUCCAGCCAUGCCGCGUGCAGGAAGAAUGCCCUAUGGGUAGUAAACUGCUUUUGAACUAGAGAAAACCCCAGUACGUGUACUGGGCUGAUAGUAUAGUUAGAAUAAGCAUCGGCUAACUUCGUGCCAGCAGCCGCGGUAAGACGAAGGAUGCAAGCGUUAUCCGGAUUCAUUGGGUUUAAAGGGAGCGUAGGUGGACUUAUAAGUCAGUGGUGAAAUCUCCGAGCUUAACUCGGAAAUUGCCAUUGAUACUGUAGGUCUUGAGUACAGUUGCUGUGGGCGGAAUAUGACAUGUAGUGGUGAAAUACAUAGAGAUGUCAUAGAACACCGAUUGCGAAGGCAGCUCACAAAGCUGUAACUGACACUGAGGCUCGAAAGUGCGGGGAUCAAACAGGAUUAGAUACCCUGGCAGUCCGCACCGUAAACGAUGAUUACUCGCUGCUAGGGGGCAACCUUUAGUGGCUUAGCGAAAGCGANAGUAAUCCACCUGGGAGUAGCCGGCAACGGUGAAACGUCAAAUGAAUUGAGGCUUGAGGACGNGCGAGACGACACGAGGGAGGAGG
rnacentral:rRNA from 1 species